GUUUGAAUGGAACAGUAGACGCACUACGUUAUUCCACCUGAGAAACAUCUGUUUCAUUCACUCCUGCUCUGAAAACUACACAAUUUCCAACAGCACUGACAGGAAAAAACCCGUUCGAACAUGCUCUGUACAAUGACUGCCGAUGAGUGUAUAUCACAGAGUGAUUCCAAGGAAAUCCCUGUCUCUGGAAAUGAUACUGAAGGUUCUGUUAAAACUGAAGAAUAUCAGACUGUAGCACUCCAUAACUCCAAAAACCAACCAAAUGGGGAUUGCUCAUUCCCU